UCAACCUGGGAACUGCAUCUGAUACUGGCAAGCUUGAGUCUCGUAGAGGGGGGUAGAAUUCCAGGUGUAGCGGUGAAAUGCGUAGAGAUCUGGAGGAAUACCGGUGGCGAAGGCGGCCCCCUGGACGAAGACUGACGCUCAGGUGCGAAAGCGUGGGGAGCAAACAGGAUUAGAUACCCUGGUAGUCCACGCCGUAAACGAUGUCGACUUGGAGGUUGUGCCCUUGAGGCGUGGCUUCCGGAGCUAACGCGUUAAGUCGACCGCCUGGGGAGUACGGCCGCAAGGUUAAAACUCAAAUGAAUUGACGGGGGCCCGCACAAGCGGUGGAGCAUGUGGUUUAAUUCGAUGCAACGCGAAGAACCUUACCUGGUCUUGACAUCCACGGAAGUUUUCAGAGAUGAGAAUGUGCCUUCGGGAAC
rnacentral:rRNA from 1 species